ACAGAGCGCCGGAUGCCGGAAAGUUGGUCAAACUUGAUCAUUUAGAGGAAGUAAAAGUCGUAACAAGGUUUCCGUAGGUGAACCUGCGGAAGGAUCAUUACCGAUGUAAUCCAAACGCACGACUCUGUCGUGAUUACCGUGUGAACCGUACCAAACCAUUCAGGGGUCGGCCGGUCCGUUAAAUGGCGGUCGGACGCGUUUACGCGGCCGCUCCGCCAGCCCCGCCUGUGUUUUUUAACAUACGUGUCUUGUCUGAAAACGUGGCCACUGCCGUGGUCGAGAGCAAAAAGAGAGAGACAACUUUUGACGGUGGAUCUCUUGGCUCACGCAUCGAUGAAGAACGCAGCCAGCUGCGAUAAGUAGUGUGAAUUGCAGAAUUCAGUGAAUCAUCGAAUCUUUGAACGCAAAUGGCGCUCUUGGGUUCUCCCAGGAGCAUGUCUGUCUGAGUGUCGGAUAUCAUCCAUCGCACGAAAAGUGCGGCGUUGAGGCGUCACGGCCCUUCUCGCGGCCGUGUCCCUUGAAGGUCAGCGAGACUCGCCGCGGCACGGGUUCGUUCCCUGCACACUCGCGGAGGCUAAAAACGUUUUUGCCCUUCGCGUGCACGGGAGCGGCCCAACCGCCGAGUCGCGGAGGCGAACACUUCUCAAUUCUUGACCUCAGAUCAGGCAAGGCUACCCGCUGAAUUUAAGCAUAU
rnacentral:misc_RNA from 1 species